rnacentral:rRNA from 1 species
AAUGAACGUUGGCAGCGUGGAUUAGGCAUGCAAGUCGAGCGACAAGGUUCCUUCGGGGACUGGAGGAGCGGCUAACGGGGUAGUAAUACAUCGGAACGUACCCUUUCGUCUGGGAUAGCCUUGGGAAACUGGGGGUAAUACCGGAUAAUCUCUGUGUUUGUGAUGAAUGCGGAGCAAAGGUUUACUGCGAGAGGAGUGGCCGAUGCGAGACUAGGUAGUUGGCGGGGUAAUGGCCCACCAAGCCUUGGAUCUCUAGGGGGUGUGAGAGCAUGGCCCCCACCACUGGAACUGAGACACUGUCCAGACACCUACGGGUGGCUGCAGUCGAGAAUCUUCGGCAAUGGGCGAAAGCCUGACCGAGCGACGCUGCGUGCGGGAUGAAGGCCCUUGGGUUGUAAACCGCUGUCAGAGGGGAUGAAAGCGUAAGCUGACAGAGCCUC